rnacentral:rRNA from 1 species
UACGGAGGGGGCAAGCGUUGUUCGGAAUUACUGGGCGUAAAGGGCGCGCAGGCGGCUGCUCAAGUCAGGCGUGAAAGGCCUGGGCUCAACCCGGGAAUUGCGCUUGAGACUGGGCUGGCUUGAGUGCGGGAGAGGAUGGUGGAAUUCCCAGUGUAGAGGUGAAAUUCGUAGAUAUCUGAAGGAACACCAGUGGCGAAGGCGGCUUUUUCUGGCCUAUUCUUGACGCUGAGGCGCGAAAGCU